rnacentral:rRNA from 1 species
GAUGAACGCUGGCGGCGUGCCUAAUACAUGCAAGUCGAGCGAACGGACGAGAAGCUUGCUUCUCUGAUGUUAGCGGCGGACGGGUGAGUAACACGUGGAUAACCUACCUAUAAGACUGGGAUAACUUCGGGAAACCGGAGCUAAUACCGGAUAAUAUUUUGAACCGCAUGGUUCAAAAGUGAAAGACGGUCUUGCUGUCACUUAUAGAUGGAUCCGCGCUGCAUUAGCUAGUUGGUAAGGUAACGGCUUACCAAGGCAACGAUGCAUAGCCGACCUGAGAGGGUGAUCGGCCACACUGGAACUGAGACACGGUCCAGACUCCUACGGGAGGCAGCAGUAGGGAAUCUUCCGCAAUGGGCGAAAGCCUGACGGAGCAACGCCGCGUGAGUGAUGAAGGUCUUCGGAUCGUAAAACUCUGUUAUUAGGGAAGAACAUAUGUGUAAGUAACUGUGCACAUCUUGACGGUACCUAAUCAGAAAGCCACGGCUAACUACGUGCCAGCAGCCGCGGUAAUACGUAGGUGGCAAGCGUUAUCCGGAAUUAUUGGGCGUAAAGCGCGCAUAGGCGGUUUUUUAAGUCUGAUGUGAAAGCCCACGGCUCAACCGUGGAGGGUCAUUGGAAACUGGAAAACUUGAGUGCAGAAGAGGAAAGUGGAAUUCCAUGUGUAGCGGUGAAAUGCGCAGAGAUAUGGAGGAACACCAGUGGCGAAGGCGACUUUCUGGUCUGUAACUGACGCUGAUGUGCGAAAGCGUGGGGAUCAAACAGGAUUAGAUACCCUGGUAGUCCACGCCGUAAACGAUGAGUGCUAAGUGUUAGGGGGUUUCCGCCCCUUAGUGCUGCAGCUAACGCAUUAAGCACUCCGCCUGGGGAGUACGACCGCAAGGUUGAAACUCAAAGGAAUUGACGGGGACCCGCACAAGCGGUGGAGCAUGUGGUUUAAUUCGAAGCAACGCGAAGAACCUUACCAAAUCUUGACAUCCUUUGACAACUCUAGAGAUAGAGCUUUCCCCUUCGGGGGACAAAGUGACAGGUGGUGCAUGGUUGUCGUCAGCUCGUGUCGUGAGAUGUUGGGUUAAGUCCCGCAACGAGCGCAACCCUUAAGCUUAGUUGCCAUCAUUAAGUUGGGCACUCUAAGUUGACUGCCGGUGACAAACCGGAGGAAGGUGGGGAUGACGUCAAAUCAUCAUGCCCCUUAUGAUUUGGGCUACACACGUGCUACAAUGGACAAUACAAAGGGCAGCGAAACCGCGAGGUCAAGCAAAUCCCAUAAAGUUGUUCUCAGUUCGGAUUGUAGUCUGCAACUCGACUACAUGAAGCUGGAAUCGCUAGUAAUCGUAGAUCAGCAUGCUACGGUGAAUACGUUCCCGGGUCU